rnacentral:rRNA from 1 species
GUGAGGAAUAUUGGUCAAUGGGCGAGAGCCUGAACCAGCCAAGUCGCGUGAGGGAAGAAUGGUCUAUGGCCUGUAAACCUCUUUUGUCAGGGAAGAAUAAGCGGCACGUGUGCCGUGAUGCCAGUACUUGACGAAUAAGCAUCGGCUAACUCCGUGCCAGCAGCCGCGGUAACACGGGGGAUGCGAGCGUUAUCCGGAUUUAUUGGGUUUAAAGGGCGCGUAGGCGGGAUGCCAAGUCAGCGGUAAAAGACUGCAGCUAAACUGUAGCACGCCGUUGAAACUGGUAACCUCGAGACGAGUCGAGGAUGGCGGAACAAGUGAAGUAGCGGUGAAAUGCUUAGAUAUCACUUGGAACCCCGAUAGCGAAGGCAGCUGUCCAGACUCGAUCUGACGCUGAUGCGCGAGAGCGUGGGUAGCGAACAGGAUUAGAAACCCGAGUAGUCC